UGGCCUUGGGUGGAUCGGGUCUCUGGGCAGAGCGUGUGUCCGGCAGAGCUAGGACCGGAAAAAGCCACUCUAGGUCUAGGUUAGGAGUGAUGACAGUUAAAAGAUAUAUAAGGAAAAGAAGGAAAGGAUCGUUUCUGUAUAAAACGAGCUAUUUUUGCAUAUCGAGCGCAUAAGUUUUAUAACUUAGGUGUCUGUUUAUGGAGAGGGUGGGAUACUACCUUUUAGCUCAAGGAGUGCACAAAACGGUAUCAUGAAUUCUGCUCUUUUGAUUCAAACACCCAACUUUGAAGAAUCGCUCAUGGUGCUUGUAAAACACGUAUCCCCAGAUCCCUCCCUAGACCUAUCGAACAACUCCAACGGUCUCGGGAAUGUGCGGGGUUUCUGAAAAGCUUGGGAAGCAAGACCUGACUAGACCCCCAAAUCUGAUAUUGGCUGAAUGGCCGACCAAUGGAGUGCAUAAGAAGAAUAAAAUAUACAAAUGGAAGAGUUAUCUAAUUCACCUAUUGGGUAGUAGAUAGAAAUGGUGAAUUCUCUUAAGCCACAGAAACAAGCUAGCACAUUGUGUGAUACACAUUGUACAACACUGAGGGUAAGUCACAAUUGUAGAUAAGAAUUGGUUAAGGGAGAUGCUAUAAUUAGCAAGUGGUUAAUGUUCUACUUCCCAAGUCCAAAAGGGGAAAACAUAAUACACUGACACAGAGACAACUACAGGGGAGAAGCAUGAAUGUGAGGCAGAGACUGGAGUGGUAUAUCUACAAGUGAGUCUGGAUACAAAGGCAGCCCAAUUUCUAGAAAUGUAUACCAGCCAUGAAGAGAUAAAGCUCCAAGAGGAGAUUUCUCUUUCUGGUAUAAGGAUUUAAACAAAACCUAGAAUGUCGCAGUACUCGAAGUAUCCAAAACAACUGAAAAAUGAAGAAGAAUAAAAGAAGAAUCCAAAAGUAUCCAAAAUAACUGAACAUAUGAAGAAUCAU
rnacentral:lncRNA from 10 species